rnacentral:rRNA from 1 species
GAUGAACGCUGGCGGCGUGCUUAACACAUGCAAGUCGAACGGAAAGGCCGAAGCUUGCUUCGGUACUCGAUUGGCGAACGGGUGAGUAACACGUGGGUGAUCUGCCCUGUACUUCGGGAUAAGCUUGGGAAACUGGGUCUAAUACCGGAUAUGACGAUCUCUUGGAUGGGGUUGUGGAAAGCUUUUGCGGUAUGGGAUGAGCUCGCGGCCUAUCAGCUUGUUGGUGGGGUAAUGGCCUACCAAGGCGUCGACGGGUAGCCGGCCUGAGAGGGUGUACGGCCACAUUGGGACUGGGAUACGGCCCAGACUCCUACGGGAGGCAGCAAUGGGGAAUAUUGCACAAUGGGCGCAAGCCUGAUGCAGCGACGCCGCGUGGGGGAUGAGGGCCUUCGGGUUGUAAACUCCUUUCGCAAUCGACGAAGCCUUUUGGUGACGGUAGGUUGAGAAGAAGCACCGGCUAACUACGUG